CCUGUCUCUAUGGAACUUGGUGGUAAAAUUCCAAUUGUAGGUUUUUGAAGUUACAGAUCUUGAUAAAGCUGCCGAGAUGACUAUUUUUGGUUGCUUUUGGACAAAUGGCCAAAUCUAUAGUGCAACACCUCCCCUUCUACUGCAUUGGUGUACUAAGAUUCGUCAUGGAAAGUGGUGACAAGGGUUGUUAGGUUGUUUCCUUAACUGCAGA